GACGAACGCUGGCGGCGUGCCUAAUACAUGCAAGUCGAACGCACUCUCGUUAGAUUGCAGACGCUUGCUUCUGAUUGAUAACAUUUGAGUGAGUGGCGGACGGGUGAGUAACACGUGGGUAACCUGCCCUAAAGUGGGGGAUAACAUUUGGAAACAGAUGCUAAUACCGCAUAAAACCUAGCACCGCAUGGUGCAAGGUUGAAAGAUGGUUUCGGCUAUCACUUUAGGAUGGACCCGCGGUGCAUUAGUUAGUUGGUGAGGUAAAGGCUCACCAAGACCGUGAUGCAUAGCCGACCUGAGAGGGUAAUCGGCCACACUGGGACUGAGACACGGCCCAGACUCCUACGGGAGGCAGCAGUAGGGAAUCUUCCACAAUGGACGAAAGUCUGAUGGAGCAACGCCGCGUGAGUGAAGAAGGUUUUCGGAUCGUAAAACUCUGUUGUUGGAGAAGAACGUAUUUGAUAGUAACUGAUCAGGUAGUGACGGUAUCCAACCAGAAAGCCACGGCUAACUACGUG
rnacentral:rRNA from 1 species